rnacentral:rRNA from 1 species
CGUAGGUGAACCUGCGGAAGGAUCAUUACCGAGUGAGGGCCCUUUGGGUCCAACCUCCCACCCGUGUUUAUUUACCUCGUUGCUUCGGCGGGCCCGCCUUAACUGGCCGCCGGGGGGCUCACGCCCCCGGGCCCGCGCCCGCCGAAGACACCCCCGAACUCUGCCUGAAGAUUGUCGUCUGAGUGAAAAUAUAAAUUAUUUAAAACUUUCAACAACGGAUCUCUUGGUUCCGGCAUCGAUGAAGAACGCAGCGAAAUGCGAUACGUAAUGUGAAUUGCAAAUUCAGUGAAUCAUCGAGUCUUUGAACGCACAUUGCGCCCCCUGGUAUUCCGGGGGGCAUGCCUGUCCGAGCGUCAUUGCUGCCCUCAAGCCCGGCUUGUGUGUUGGGCCCCGUCCUCCGAUUCCGGGGGACGGGCCCGAAAGGCAGCGGCGGCACCGCGUCCGGUCCUCGAGCGUAUGGGGCUUUGUCACCCGCUCUGUAGGCCCGGCCGGCGCUUGCCGAUCAACCCAAAUUUUUAUCCAGGUUGACCUCGGAUCAGGUAGGGAUACCCGCUGAACUUAAGCA